CCUGGUUGAUCCUGCCAGUAAUCAUAUGCUUCUCUUAAAUAUUAAGCCAUGCAUGUGUAAGUAUGAAGAAAUUCAGACUGUGAAACUACGAAUGGCUCAUUAAAUCAGUUAUAGUUUGUUUGAUGGUAUCUACUACUCGGAUAACCAUAGUAAUUCUAGAGCUAAUACGUCCAACAAACCCCGACCUUUGGAAGGGAUGCAUUUAUUAGAUAAAAGGUCGACGCGGGCUCUGCUCGUUGCUGCGAUGAUUCAUGAUAACUCGACGGAUCGCACGGCCAUCGUGCCGGCGACGCAUCAUUUAAAUUUCUUCCCUAUCAACUUUCGAUGGUAGGAUAGUGGCCUACCAUGGUGGUGACGGGUGACGGAGAAUUAGGGUUCGAUUUCGGAGAGGGAGCCUGAGAAACGGCUACCACAUCCAAGGAAGGCAGCAGGUGCGCAAAUUACCCAAUCCUGACACGGGGAGGUAGUGACAAUAAAUAACAAUACCGGUCAUUAUGAGUCUGGUAAUUGGAAUGUGUACAAUCUAAAUCCCUUAACGAGGAUCAAUUGGAGGGCAAGUCUGGUGCCAACAGUCGCGGUAAUUCCACCUCCAAUAGCGUAUAUUUAAGUUGUUGUAGUUAAAAAGCUCAUAGUUGGACUUUGGGAUGGGCCGGCCGGUCCGCCUAUGGUGUGCACCGGUCGUCUCGUCCCUUCUGUCGGCAAUGCGCUCCUGGCCUUUACUGGCCUGGUCGUGCCUCCGGCGCUGUUACUUUGAAUAAAUUAGAGUGCUCAAAGCAAGCCUACGCUCUGUAUACAUUAGCAUGGGAUAACAUUAUAGGAUUUUGGUCCUAUUACGUUGGCCUUCGGGAUCGGAGUAAUGAUUAACAGGGACAGUCAAGGGCAUUCGUAUUUCAUAGUAAGAGGUGAAAUUCUUGGAUUUAUGAAAGACGAAUAACUGCGAAAGCAUUUGCCAAGGAUGUUUUCAUUAAUCAAGAACGAAAGUUGGGGGCUCGAAGACGAUCAGAUAUCGUCCUAGUCUCAACCAUAAACGAUGCCGACCAGGGAUCGGCGGAUGUUGCUUUUAGGACUCUGCCGGCACCUUAUGAGAAAUCAAAGUUUUUGGGUUUCGGGGGGAGUAUGGUCGCAAGGCUGAAACUUAAAGGAAUUGAUGGAAGGGCACCACCAGGACUGGAGCCUGCGGCUUAAUUUGACUCAACACGGGGAAACUUACCAGGUCCAGACAUAGUAAGGAUUGACAGACUGAGAGCUCUUUCUUGAUUCUAUGGGUGGUGGUGCCUGGCCGUUCUUAGUGGGUGGAGCGAUUUGUCGGGUUAAUUCCGUUAACGAAUGAGACCUCAGCCUGCUAACUAGCUAUACGGAGGUAUCCCUUCGCGGCCAG
rnacentral:rRNA from 1 species